rnacentral:rRNA from 1 species
GUUGUAUGGUUAAGUGACUAAGCGUACACGGUGGAUGCCUUGGCAGUCAGAGGCGAUGAAGGACGUAGUAACUUGCGAUAAGCGUAGAUGAGGCAGUAACAGCCACUUGAGUCUACGAUUUCCGAAUGGGGAAACCCACUGGCAUAAGCCAGUAUCAUUGAGUGAAUACAUAGCUCAAUGAAGCGAACCGGGAGAACUGAAACAUCUAAGUACCCCGAGGAAAAGAAAUCAACCGAGAUUCCGAAAGUAGCGGCGAGCGAAAUUGGAUUAGCCCUUAAGCUUUACAUGUGUUAGACGAACGGUCUGGAAAGUCCGACGAUACAGGGUGAUAGUCCCGUAGUUGACGAUGCAUGUUCAGUGAAAUCGAGUAGGGCGGGACACGUGUUAUCCUGUCUGAAUAUGGGGGGACCAUCCUCCAAGGCUAAAUACUCCUGACUGACCGAUAGUGAACCAGUACCGUGAGGGAAAGGCGAAAAGAACCCCUGUGAGGGGAGUGAAAUAGAACCUGAAACCGUGUACGUACAAGCAGUAGGAGCACCUUCGUGGUGUGACUGCGUACCUUUUGUAUAAUGGGUCAGCGACUUAUAUUCAGUGGCAAGGUUAACCAUCUAGGGGAGCCGUAGGGAAACCGAGUCUUAACUGGGCGCCAUAGUCUCUGGAUAUAGACCCGAAACCGAGUGAUCUAGCCAUGGGCAGGUUGAAGGUUGAGUAACAUCAACUGGAGGACCGAACCGACUAAUGUUGAAAAAUUAGCGGAUGACUUGUGGCUAGGGGUGAAAGGCCAAUCAAACUCGGAGAUAGCUGGUUCUCCCCGAAAGCUAUUUAGGUAGCGCCUCGGACGAAUACUACUGGGGGUAGAGCACUGUUAAGGCUAGGGGGUCAUCCCGACUUACCAACCCUUUGCAAACUCCGAAUACCAGUAAGUACUAUCCGGGAGACACACGGCGGGUGCUAACGUCCGUCGUGGAGAGGGAAACAACCCAGACCGCCAGCUAAGGUCCCAAAUUACAGCUAAGUGGGAAACGAUGUGGGAAGGCUUAGACAGCUAGGAUGUUGGCUUAGAAGCAGCCAUCAUUUAAAGAAAGCGUAAUAGCUCACUAGUCGAGUCGGCCUGCGCGGAAGAUGUAACGGGGCUAAGUUGUAAACCGAAGCUGCGGCAAUGUUCUUUGAACAUUGGGUAGGGGAGCGUUCUGUAAGCCGUUGAAGGUGUGUUGUAAAGCAUGCUGGAGGUAUCAGAAGUGCGAAUGCUGACAUGAGUAACGACAAGGGGGGUGAAAAACCUCCCCGCCGGAAGACCAAGGGUUCCUGUCCAACGUUAAUCGGGGCAGGGUAAGUCGACCCCUAAGGCGAGGCCGAAAGGCGUAGUCGAUGGGAAACGGGUUAAUAUUCCCGUACUUCUUACAAUUGCGAUGGGGGGACGGAGAAGGCUAGGUGGGCCUGGCGACGGUUGUCCAGGUUCAAGUGCGUAGGCUGAGUGUUUAGGUAAAUCCGGACACUCUUAAGGCUGAGACACGACGUCGAGCUACUACGGUAGUGAAGUCAUUGAUGCCAUGCUUCCAGGAAAAGCCUCUAAGCUUCAGAUUGUAAGGAAUCGUACCCCAAACCGACACAGGUGGUCGGGUAGAGAAUACCAAGGCGCUUGAGAGAACUCGGGUGAAGGAACUAGGCAAAAUGGUACCGUAACUUCGGGAGAAGGUACGCUCUUGAUGGUGAAGUCCCUUGCGGAUGGAGCUGACGAGAGUCGCAGAUACCAGGUGGCUGCAACUGUUUAUUAAAAACACAGCACUGUGCAAAAUCGUAAGAUGACGUAUACGGUGUGACGCCUGCCCGGUGCCGGAA